rnacentral:rRNA from 1 species
CGCAUGAAGCCUGGAUGCGUUGCACCGGGUUGGAUGAGUGGCGAACGGGUGAGUAACACGUGAGUAACCUGCCCCUGACUUCGGGAUAAGCCCGGGAAACUGGGUCUAAUACCGGAUACGACUGCCGGACGCAUGUCUGGUGGUGGAAAGUUUUUUCGGUUGGGGAUGGGCUCGCGGCCUAUCAGUUUGUUGGUGAGGUAAUGGCUCACCAAGACGACGACGGGUAGCCGGCCUGAGAGGGCGACCGGCCACACUGGGACUGAGACACGGCCCAGACUCCUACGGGAGGCAGCAGUGGGGAAUAUUGCACAAUGGGGGAAACCCUGAUGCAGCGACGCAGCGUGCGGGAUGACGGCCUUCGGGUUGUAAACCGCUUUCAGCAGGGAAGAAGCGCAAGUGACGGUACCUGCAGAAGAAGUACCGGCUAACUACGUGCCAGCAGCCGCGGUAAUACGUAGGGUACGAGCGUUGUCCGGAAUUAUUGGGCGUAAAGAGCUCGUAGGUGGUUGGUCACGUCUGCUGUGGAAACGCAACGCUUAACGUUGCGCGUGCAGUGGGUACGGGCUGACUAGAGUGCAGUAGGGGAGUCUGGAAUUCCUGGUGUAGCGGUG